CUCAAACUGAUCCUCUGAAAUUUUCAGGGCACUCUGACAGCUAUCAGAGACUGGUUUAGAGACUAUAAGAUUCCUGACGGAAAGCCUGCUAACAAGUUUGGACUUGGAAACAAGCCAGCUAACAAGGAUUAUGCACUUAAGAUUAUUACGGAAACCAACGAGUCUUGGGCAAAGCUUGUUAAGAGAUCUAUCCCUGCUGGUGACCUUUCACUUGUGUAGAUGCGGAUUGAUAAUGCUUGAACAGCUAGUUUUUUUGCUGUAAACUGAACUGGAUGUUGAAACCCUAGUAAUUCUUUUACUCUCUCCUCAUUUGUGAGGUGGAAAUGAGUUCAUAAGAUUCACUCAGUAUAAAAAGAUACUGCUUUUUCAUCUGUACGUAUCUCUGCACGAAUUUGACUUUUAAAGCUAUAUGACGAAAAAGAUACAGAUAUAGCUUAA